CACCCGAUCCCUUCCCGAACUCGGUAGUGAAACGGCUCCGCGCCGAUGGUAGUGUGGGGUCUCCCCAUGUGAGAGUAGGUCAUCGUCAGGC
rnacentral:rRNA from 1 species